rnacentral:rRNA from 1 species
CGACCGCGACCUCAGGUCAGGCGGGACUACCCGCUGAGUUUAA